GACGUAGGGCGCGAGCGUUGUCCGGAUUCAUUGGGCGUAAAGAGCGUGUAGGCGGCCAGGUAGGUCGGUUGUGAAAACUGGAGGCUCAACCUUCAGAGGUCGACCGAAACCAUCUGGCUAGAGUCCGGGAGAGGAGAGUGGAAUUCCUGGUGUAGCGGCGAAAUGCGCAGAUAUCAGGAAGAACACCCGUGGCGAAAGCGGCUCUCUGGAACGGUACUGACGCUGAGACGCGAAAGCGUGGGGAGCGAACAGG
rnacentral:rRNA from 1 species